GCAUUUGCCAAUUAUCUUUUUUUUUAAUGAAAGAACUGUGUGGGAGAUCUCCACAGCAAAGUCAUUACUUAAAAAAACAAAGGAGGCACAAAAAGUACAUCGUACAAAGCCUGUUGUCAUCUUUUAGUGCGUUGAAAUGUUGUCACCUGGUUUCUGAUGACAUCCUCUUGCCUCUGAUUAGAUUUGUGUUUGUCUGUUUGAUAUUUCAGUAACAAUUUGGGACCACUUUGUAUAUGAUUGAAAAUAUGCAUUGUUUUCCUUAUUUUAUUCAAUCGUUCAAUCUUGUUCCUCGGGAAUGCUAGCUUUUGCAUUAAAUCUUAUGCUUUUGAAGAUUGUGCAAAUUUUUUUGGAGGCUAGAAUGCAAUCAUGUUGUGGAGGUUUUCGAGUCAUUACUAUGAUAAAAUGCCAAUUUGUCCCUCCCCGCUUAGUCCUGUCUCCCUUUUGUACAGUUAUAUUUGCAUGUGCUACUAUUUGUAUUCAAUGUUGAAAAUAGGAUGAUCUUGCACACUGAACUGCAGAUUAAGAGAGUUUGCACUUGCUUUAUGACUUGCAGCUAAAUACACAUUCCAACUGACAGAUUCUCAAAGUGAGCUGCUUCGUUAUUCUGGAGGAGGCUGUCUCCGUGGCUUAAGGUUUAUACAAGCUUUAUGGCGUAGAGUAGAUGCUAGCUCUUCCCUGUACAGGCAAUCUAUUUAUCACCAAUUCUUCUUAACUUGAUGUACACUCAGAAUUUUCAUGGUAGAGAUGAUAGUCAGUCUAAUGAGAUGUCGAUUCGGUCCCGUAUUCAUUUUGAUAGCCUUUAGAUUUCUAGUCAAGGCUGUACAAAACUUCAUCAUGAGUGCUACUUAUACCGUGGUUUCUUCCCUACUCUUUUGCUGUGAAGGGAAUGCUAUUUCUGCUUACCUGCACAUAUCUCAGCGUUGUGGGGAGGAGUAAUUCUGUACGUCUAAGCUACUGCCGGAAAUGCUAUCUUGCCUGAUCCAUACA